UAAAGAAUUUCGGUAUGGGAUGGCGAUGCGUCCGAUUAGCUGGUUGGCGGGGGUAACGGGCCCACCAAGGCGACGAUCGGUAGGGGUUCGUUGAGAGGAAGGUCCCCCACAUUGGAACUGAGACACGGUCCAAACUCCUACGGGAGGCAGCAGUGAGGAAUAUUGGUCAAUGGGCGAAAGCCUGAACCAGCCAAGUAGCGUGCAGGAUGACGGCCCUAUGGGUUGUAAACUGCUUUUAGGCGGGGGUAAAGUGGCGGACGUGUUCCGCCUUUGCAAGUACCGCCAGAAAAAGGACCGGCUAAUUCCGUG
rnacentral:rRNA from 1 species